CGUGCGUGUAUGUGUAAGUGUGUGACAGGUGGAGUCAACCGACAACCCUAGUCAAGACCCUGGCCUCUCUCUCGUUUGAGACCACGCCCUCUCCUCUCUUCUGCUCUGCACCGCCCCACCUGCCAGGAGAGCUGGCCCGUGAGCUCGCAGAGAUUGUCCUGCCUCUGCCUUGCCGGAGGACGCUGGGUUUCCACGCGUUCACGACCGCGCCAGCUUCUGUGGGGGCUCUGGGAGCCUCACUUCUGCAGAGGAAAGGCUGCAUCCCCUGAGUCACCUCCCCAGCCCUCUUGGUUUUGUCUAAGUCGCUGGUGAGCUGUGGUGAGCUGUGGCCAUCCAUCUUUGGGGCAGAACGUAAAAUGUACAGACCAUCCAGUUGCUUCUCGAAGAAGGCAAACUGUUGCAAAUGGUCUGUUGGAGACUCUCAUGUGGUGCGGUAUGAACACGGAACUUUUAUUGAAAGCCGCAGCUGAGUGCUGGCGCGUUGGUCACGGGUCAAUGUGAGUGACAAAGUCACAGCUCAUGCCAGAUGCUUUGCUGGGGCUUUGAUAAUUAUCACACUGAUCCCUCCAAAGGCCAUGAGAAACAGCCAGCACCAUCCUCAUUUCUACAUGAAGAAAGAGACGCAGAGAAGUCCAGGUCUUUGCCAUGAAAGCUAGAGGUGGCUGUCUUCCUUCUCUGUUCUCACGUGGUAGAGAGCAUGAGGGAGUUCCCCUGGAAUCCUUUACAAGGGCACUAACCCUGGUCACGAGGGCUACACCCUUAUCCUACCAGCCUUCUGAAGACUCCACGUCCUCCUCUCAUCGUAGGUGCUGGGGUGGGAGUAAAAUUCAACAAAUGAAUUUUGCUGUGCUGAAAAUCCAGGCUGGUCCAUUAAUUUCUUAAUAGUCUACUUACCCCUAUGUAUCCUGGAAUGUAUCAGAGAGAUAUGGGGCACUCCAGAUUAAGCCCUGAGAUUACAGGACCACACACUCUAGCCUGUUGCAAUGGAAACUCAUUUUUAGAAGCUUUGAGGGAUUCUUUCCUUGAAUAAGAAGAGUAAACCCAGAAACCAUAUGCGUCAUCUGCUCAAGGGAGCUGCUGAGGACCUGAGCUGCGUCCUGUUCUGCUGGCCUGAGACUGUGAGUUUU